GAUUCCCUGGACUAUUCGCCAGCCCGUUAGUCCUCGAGCCGAUAAGCACUUGCCUGGGGGCCUCUCCGCCGACGCUGUGUGCAUGUCCGCCUGCCGGAAAGCCUGAUGCGUCACUGAGGCCGCCGCCUUGAACCGCUGGGUUCAAGGGCGACACGGGCAGCGGUAGCGCCGGGGAAUCC
rnacentral:other from 1 species